rnacentral:rRNA from 1 species
CCCCUAGAUGUUCUGGGCCGCACGCGCGCUACACUGAACAGUUCAACAAGUCUUAACCUUGGCCGAUAGGUCUGGGUAAUCUUUGAACGCUGUUCGUGAUUGGGAUAGACCUUUGCAAUUAUGGGUCUUCAACGAGGAAUUCCUAGUAAACGCAAGUCAUCAGCUUGCAUUGAUUACGUCCCUGCCCUUUGUACACACCGCCCGUCGCACCUACCGAUUGAAUGGUCCGGUGAAAUCUCGGGACGGCGGCUUGGUCGCUUGCGUCCGACUGCUGAAACUUGAUUAAACCAUAUCAUUUAGAGGAAGGUGAAGUGGUAACA